GACGAACGCUGGCGGCGUGCCUAAUACAUGCAAGUGGAACGCAUUGGUAACACCGGACUUGCUCCAGUGUUACUAAUGAGUCGCGAACGGGUGAGUAACGCGUAGGUAACCUGCCUGAUAGCGGGGGAUAACUAUUGGAAACGAUAGCUAAUACCGCAUAAGAGGAGUUAACUCAUGUUAACUGUUUAAAAGAAGCAAUGGCUUCACUAUCAGAUGGACCUGCGUUGUAUUAGCUAGUAGGUAGGGUAACGGCCUACCUAGGCAACGAUACAUAGCCGACCUGAGAGGGUGAACGGCCACACUGGGACUGAGACACGGCCCAGACUUCUACGGGAGGCAGCAGUAGGGAAUCUUCGGCAAUGGACGCAAGUCUGACCGAGCAACGCCGCGUGAGUGAAGACGGUUUUCGGAUCGUAAAGCUCUGUUGUAGGGGAAGAACGUGUGUAAGAGUGGAAAGCUUACACA
rnacentral:rRNA from 1 species